rnacentral:rRNA from 1 species
CCUACGGGUGGCAGCAGUGGGGAAUAUUGCGCAAUGGGCGAAAGCCUGACGCAGCGACGCCGCGUGAGGGAUGAAGGUCUUCGGAUCGUUAACCUCUGUCAGCAGGGAAGAACGGUCACUGUGCUAAUCAGCAGUGAAUUGACGGUAUCUGCAAAGGAAGCACCGGCUAACUCCGUGCCAGCAGCCGCGGUAAUACGGAGGGUGCGAGCGUUAAUCGGAAUUACUGGGCGUAAAGGGCUCGUAGGCGGUAUGUCAAGUCAAGGGUGAAAUCCCGGCGCCCAACGGUAGAACUGCCUUUGAAACUGGCAGGCUGGAGUAUGUGAGAGGAUAGUGGAAUGCCAGGUGUAGGAGUGAAAUCCGUAGAUAUCUGGAAGAACAUCAGUGGCGAAGGCGACUAUCUGGCACAUAACUGACGCUGAGGAGCGAAAGCGUGGGUAGCAAACAGGAUUAGAUACCCUAGUAGUC